UUAAGUAUUAAUAAGAUGAUCAGGAGCAUCUCCCCCCUUUCUUUCUCUUUCUCUUCCUGGUUCCGUCCUGCUGCCGCAAAGGCUCCUGGGAGUCGUAGUUCUUCUAGGCAAUGGACGGCCUCAACAUGGAACCCGACUCCACUUCCGAAUCCCCGGCGGCAGGGAAGGGUUAGUCCACUCGUCCCUCCGCAUCGGCGAGGGUUAGGGGCGCAGGAGCCGCCCCCUGAAUGUUCAGGACUCAUAGAGGUGGAACAGAAGUUCCUUUUCAGUGCAGGUACCGCAGAGAAACUGGCAACACUGGGUGGAACUCUGCAAAGUGACUACUCCUUCCGCGACCAGUAUUAUGAUGUGAUGGACCUACGGCUCACCCUAGCUGACCACUGGCUCCGGCAUCGCCAGGGGGCUGGCUGGGAGCUGAAAUGCCCCCCACAGCCACUAAAGGGUGCCAGAGGUCCAGGCUGUGCCAUAGAGAGUCCAGCCAUAGAGAGCCUCAGGCCCCAGGGCAGACAUCAAGCACCAACUGGAGGCCAUGCAGACACUGGGGACCAGUUGCAGCCACUGGAAAGUCUGGGCCAGACCCAUGCUGCAGUGCAAUACCUUGAGGUGACCUGCCCACGAGAUAUUGUGAAUCGCAUCUGUGGACUGCUGGGCGUGGAGCCAGCUACAGUUUGGCACGAAAAUGUGGCCAGAGCAGUAGAGGACCUUGGCCUGCAGGAGUUUGCCAGCUUUGUCACCCGACGGUGCCAAUAUCGUUUGGGUGACCUGAAUGUGGAUCUGGAUGAGGCAGAUUUUGGUUACGCCGUGGGAGAGGUAGAAGCCAUGGUCAAGCGGCAGGAAGAAAUACCAGCGGCUCUGGAGAGCAUCCGGAAGCUGGGUAUUCAGCUGGGCUUUGAUGAGAGAACCAGGAAUCCUGGCAAGAUGUCUGCCUAUCUGUAUAAAUUCAGACCAGCACAUUAUGAAGCCCUGGUACGAGGUGGAAGACUCAGGAAAAUGGGAGAUGGAACACAUGGGCAAGAAGGAAAGGACUGAUGGGGGGGGGGUUGCUGAGGAAAGGACCCUUCCCUCUAGGCUAGCUGCAUCCUAUACCAGUGCAAUUCUCAGAUGGAGAGAGGAGAAAUUAAUGCGAACAAAACAGCACAGAAAAAAAAUAUUGUGAGGAUUCACACACACCCCUUUCUCAAAUUUGCCCAACUGAAUUUCUAAAUCCAUCCAGUCAGCUGUGAAGAUUUAGCAUGCUAUAGCUGACUCCUUUCCAUAGUGAGAACCCUUGUAUGCAUUUUGUAAUAUCACAGCAAGUCAUCCAAAAGCUGCAAGUGGGGAAGAGUUCCCUGUCAACAGACUGGGUUUUGCCCUAUGACAUAAGAAGAGAAGAUGAACCUGGAAAGUGUUUAUUCACACUUCUAUAUCAAACCAAUCCAAUAGAAAUGACUGUAAAAAAUGUAAAGAGUCAGGAAACAGAGGAGCGGGGAACGGCCCAAAGGAAGCACAACUACUUCAUGUAAAACUGGUCUGGAUCCAUGGAACCUCUUGCCACAUUCUUACCUUCUUUGGGUUCAACACUCGAAUGACCUGCGUGAGAGGGGGUCUGCCCUGGCCAGGGACUGUAGAACCGCUGGGGGGCAAGAGCUCCACCUGGAAGGACUGGCACAAAGACAAGGCAACAGAAGUCUUCAGGCAACAUGCAUUUUGUUGUUGUGUGCCUUCAAGUCAACUUCAGCCUAUAGACAUCCAAUCCUAGGUUUUACGUAGCAAGAAUGUCUCCCCAGACAAAUGUUUGUCUUGGCCUUCCUCUAGGGCUGAGAGAGUGGGACUUUCCCAAGGUCACCCACUGGGUUGCUGAAGCAGAAUGGCAAGUCGAACCCUAACCUCCCUGAGCCCUAGUCCAAAACUCAAACCAUGACACCGCACUGGCUCUCUAAUAAAUGUAUGUUUGGAAUAAACUUUUAUAGAGGAAGAGGGCUGCAAUUCACAAAAGUUUAUGUCAAAUAAA